rnacentral:tRNA from 1 species
UCCUCAUUAGCUCAGUUGGUAGAGCGUUCGGCUUUUAUGACUAAAAAUCAAAAGUCGACCGAAAUGUCCAGGGUUCGAGCCCCUGAUGAGGAG